GCCCCUGAGCACCCCCAGGCUGACACACUCCCCUGCCUUCCAUUGUGUCUGUGACACCUGGGCCUGUGCUCAGGUGUGCUGCUUAUGGGUACAUAGCUGGUAUUGCAUCGCUCAACCUUCCACUGGAAGAAAAUUUGAUUAUUCCACUCUAGCCAGCAAUGUCAUUACAUGAAAUGGAAGGGGAACCUUUCCCUUACUAAAUUCUUUAGUGUGUUCAGCUUCUCUUGGUGGGGGAAAACAAGUCUAUAAAAGUGCCACUAGCUUGUUUUAACUUCUGUAUGUGCACCUUCACGCCCUGGAGAGGGGUAUCAGACACAGCCUGACUGCCCGAGCAGUUGCGGACUGGCCCAAUUUCCUGCAGAGUGCUGCGAAGGCCGUAGAUAUCAACUUCAAAGGUUUCCCACCCCCUGAAUUUUCAUAUGCAAUUGAAGAAAAAUACCAUCUAACCCACUGAAUGUUUUGGGAAGCAGAGUGAGAGCAGGCUUGGCUGUUGCAGAGGGGACAUGGAAAGCAAAGGCUGACAGUGGAAGUGGUGCCUCACAGUGUGGCUGUGGGGCAGUGGGACCAGACAGCCACAUGGUGCCCAUCCUCCCUCUUCUGGUCUCCUCCUCGCUGCUGCUGAUUCCAGGCUUAUCCCUCACUCAGGAGAGGACUUCUGGUGCUCCCAGUGCUAUCCUUGCUGAUUGCAAUGAUACUCUUCAGAAGAAUAAAAAAGGAAGAUAAGCCCCAGCUGCAACUUCAAGGAAUGGCUCAAUGCUUCAUUCAUGGCUUGAAAGAACAGCAUUGCUAUCCACAGUGGCAGUUUGUGUCUAUGAACCUUCUUAGAUGGCUCUCAUGCUCAGAUUU